rnacentral:rRNA from 1 species
AACAAAAACAUGUCCUUUUGUUUAUAUUUAUUUAAGGUUUGACCUGCCCACUGAAUUUUUCUUUAUUUUGAAUGGCCGCAGUAAUUUGACUGUGCAAAGGUAGCAUAAUCAUUAGUUUUUUAAUUGAAAGCUUGUAUGAAGGGUUGGACGAAGUAUAAUCUGUCUUUAUUUAAUUUAUUAUAGAAUUUAAUUUUUAAGUUAAAAAGCUUAAAUAAUUAUAAAAGACGAGAAGACCCUAUAAAUCUUUAUAUUAUUUUAAAUUAUUUUAAUUAGGAUUAUUUAAUUUAUGAUUUUUUAUAGUAUUUUAUUGGGGUAAUAUUAUGAUUAAACUAAUUCAUUUUGGUUUUUUACAUUAAUUUAUGAUUUUAUGAUCCAAUAUAUUUUGAUUAUAAGAUUAAGUUACUUUAGGGAUAACAGCGUAAUUUUUUUAAAGAGUUCAUAUCGAUAAAAAAGUUUGCGACCUCGAUGUUG